UCAUAACCUCCCAUUAAGAUGCAUGAUAAUGCAUCCAAUAUUCUAAAUAGGCAUUGGAGGCACCACAUGCUUGGUGUCUAUUGGGUAUUAAAAUUAUCAUUCAUCAUAUGAUCAUCUUGUUGUAUCCUUCAGAUCAAUGAUCAGGUUACUCGAGCCUGGGCAUUUGUUUGUUGGAUGCACUUAGUGUAGUUAUAUUAAUGGUUGGACCUAUUCAAGAUU
rnacentral:lncRNA from 1 species